rnacentral:misc_RNA from 1 species
GAUGAAGAACGUAGCGAAAUGCGAUACGUAAUGUGAAUUGCAAAUUCAGUGAAUCAUCGAGUCUUUGAACGCACAUUGCGCCCCCUGGUAUUCCGGGGGGCAUGCCUGUCCGAGCGUCAUUGCUGCCCUCAAGCACGGCUUGUGUGUUGGGCCCCGUCCUCCGAUCCCGGGGGACGGGCCCGAAAGGCAGCGGCGGCACCGCGUCCGGUCCUCGAGCGUAUGGGGCUUUGUCACCCGCUCUGUAGGCCCGGCCGGCGCUUGCCGAUCAACCCAAAUUUUUAUCCAGGUUGACCUCGGAUCAGGUUGGGAUACCCGCUGAACUUAAGCAUAUCAAUAAGCGGAGGA